GGACGAACGCUGGCGGCGUGCUUAACACAUGCAAGUCGAACGGAAAGGCCCUGCUUUUGUGGGGUGCUCGAGUGGCGAACGGGUGAGUAACACGUGAGUAACCUGCCCUUGACUUUGGGAUAACUUCAGGAAACUGGGGCUAAUACCGGAUAGGAGCUCCUGCUGCAUGGUGGGGGUUGGAAAGUUUCGGCGGUUGGGGAUGGACUCGCGGCUUAUCAGCUUGUUGGUGGGGUAGUGGCUUACCAAGGCUUUGACGGGUAGCCGGCCUGAGAGGGUGACCGGCAACAUUGGGACUGAGAUACGGCCCAGACUCCUACGGGAGGCAGCAGUGGGGAAUAUUGCACAAGGGGCGGAAGCCUGAUGCAGCAACGCCGCGUGGGGGAUGACGGCCUUCGGGUUGUAAACCGCUUUCGCCUGGGACGAAGCGUGAGUGACGGUAAUGGGUAAAGAAGCACCGGCUAACUACGU
rnacentral:rRNA from 1 species